rnacentral:rRNA from 1 species
GACGAACGCUGGCGGCGUGCUUAACACAUGCAAGUCGAACGGUGAAAGCGGAGCUUGCUCCGCUGGAUCAGUGGCGAACGGGUGAGUAACACGUGGGCAACCUGCCCCUCACUUCGGGAUAACUCCGGGAAACCGGGGCUAAUACCGGAUAUGACCUCCUUGGGCAUCCUUGGAGGUGGAAAGUUUUUCGGUGAGGGAUGGGCCCGCGGCCUAUCAGCUUGUUGGUGAGGUAGUGGCUCACCAAGGCGACGACGGGUAGCCGGCCUGAGAGGGCGACCGGCCACACGGGGACUGAGACACGGCCCAGACUCCUACGGGAGGCAGCAGUGGGGAAUAUUGCGCAAUGGGCGAAAGCCUGACGCAGCAACGCCGCGUGCGGGAUGACGGCCUUCGGGUUGUAAACCUCUUUCAGCAUCGACGAAGCGAAAGUGACGGUAGGUGCAGAAGAAGGACCGGCCAACUACGUGCCAGCCGCCGCCGUAA